GCACACUGGAACAUUUCUCCCCUUUCAUCAUGGAUGCACUGAAGAAGAGUUUAACUUUACUGGAUGAGGAGCCGCCACCUGGCCCUCCAUGCCGCCCCUUCCAGGUUGGACGCCUCCAGGACCUCCAGGCCACCGCCGCCUCCAGGACCUCCGCCUCAGUCCUUCUGAAAGCUCCCACAGAUCUCACUGAUGCCCUACUGUGCAGCCUUGAGUGAGAACACCUCAGAGUGGCUGUGGCUGCAUCAUGUCAAAGCAGGCGCCUCCAGACGACCGCCACGGACCUCACGGCGAGCACCUCCAGACGACCGCCACGGACCUCACGGCGAGCACCUCCAGACGACCGCCACGGACCUCACGGCGAGCACCUCCAGACGACCGCCACGGACCUCACGGCGAGCACCUCCAGACGACCGCCACGGACCUCACGGCGAGCACCUCCAGAC
ensembl:lncRNA